rnacentral:rRNA from 3 species
UCAGUGAAAUUGAACUCGCUGUGAAGAUGCAGUGUACCCGCGGCAAGACGGAAAGACCCCGUGAACCUUUACUAUAGCUUGACACUGAACAUUGAGCCUUGAUGUGUAGGAUAGGUGGGAGGCUUUGAAGUGUGGACGCCAGUCUGCAUGGAGCCGACCUUGAAAUACCACCCUUUAAUGUUUGAUGUUCUAACGUGGACCCGUGAUCCGGGUUGCGGACAGUGUCUGGUGGGUAGUUUGACUGGGGCGGUCUCCUCCUAAAGAGUAACGGAGGAGCACGAAGGUUGGCUAAUCCUGGUCGGACAUCAGGAGGUUAGUGCAAUGGCAUAAGCCAGCUUGACUGCGAGCGUGACGGCGCGAGCAGGUGCGAAAGCAGGUCAUAGUGAUCCGGUGGUUCUGAAUGGAAGGGCCAUCGCUCAACGGAUAAAAGGUACUCCGGGGAUAACAGGCUGAUACCGCCCAAGAGUUCAUAUCGACGGCGGUGUUUGGCACCUCGAUGUCGGCUCAUCACAUCCUGGGGCUGAAGUAGGUCCCAAGGGUAUGGCUGUUCGCCAUUUAAAGUGGUACGCGAGCUGGGUUUAGAACGUCGUGAGACAGUUCGGUCCCUAUCUGCCGUGGGCGCUGGAGAACUGAGGGGGGCUGCUCCUAGUACGAGAGGACCGGAGUGGACGCAUCACUGGUGUUCGGGUUGUCAUGCCAAUGGCACUGCCCGGUAGCUAAAUGCGGAAGAGAUAAGUGCUGAAAGCAUCUAAGCACGAAACUUGCCCCGA